rnacentral:rRNA from 1 species
UAGGGAGGCAGCAGUAGGGAAUCUUUCACAAUGGGCGAAAGCCUGAUGGAGCAACGCCGCGUGCAGGAUGACGGCCUUCGGGUUGUAAACUGCUUUUAUAAGCGAGAAAUAUGAUGGUAACUUAUGAAUAAGGACCGGCUAACUACGUGCCAGCAGCCGCGGUAAU